AAGUGCGAAUCGGGAUCGAACCAGCGACCUCUAGAUCUUCAGUCUAGCGCUCUCCCAACUGAGCUAUCACGGCC
rnacentral:tRNA from 1 species